GACGAACCGUCCAAACGUUAUUCGGAAUUACUGGGCUUAAAGGGUUCGUAGGCGGCUUUGUAAGUGAGAUGUGAAAUCCCACGGCUCAACCGUGGAAGUGCAUUUCAUACUGCAAGGCUUGAGGGAGACAGAGGUAAGCGGAACUGAUGGUGGAGCGGUGAAAUGCGUUGAUAUCAUCAGGGACACCGGUGGCGAAAGCGGCUUACUGGGUCUCGUCUGACGCUGAGGAACGAAAGCCAGGGGAGCGAACGGG
rnacentral:rRNA from 1 species